AUUAUGAAUAGUUUUGUGGCAAUGUUUUUAUCAAGGGUCUUGGAGAACUGAUUGAGGGAAGGUGGAACCUUCAAGCGCUGAUUGAGGAUCCGUCUCUUCCUCUGGAUACGGACAACCUGAGGCCAUAUCACGAACCUUGUAUGAUCCUUCUUGGGUGGCAAUGCUCCGCCGAUGCCGAAUUGCUUUGGCUGCUUCUCGAACAACGGGUUCACGACCUUCUCUGACUUUUU